CAUUUCCUCCACGCCUCUUCAAAUGUAGGCAGGAGCACGCGCUCCGCCGACGUUGGCUUUCCUGUGCUGAAUACCUAUCGUGAGGGCAUUAUGUCGGCUAGAAUCAUUCAUUUCCCGCCUUGUGCUGCUGCUCUACAUGGGCAAGUGGUGCGGGGUGGGCCAAAUCGCGCACGUCGUGUAUCGCACCUCGUUCGCCUUCACGGGUGUCCGGGUUGACGACCCACGACGUUAUGCUCGAUCUCUCGGGUACGGUAUAYCAHGUGGGUACGAGGCCAUCGGCCUCCGAGCACCACAAACAAAAGCGUUCUACGCUUMGUGCGAACGACGGUCGGCACGGUCUUUGGCCGUGCUCUCGUAGCUCGGUUCAAGUCGUGCCGACGUCGA
rnacentral:misc_RNA from 1 species